UACGUAGGGGGCAAGCGUUGUCCGGAUUUAUUGGGCGUAAAGCGCUCGCAGGCGGCUCGAUGCGUCGUGCGUGAAACACCCCGGCUCAACUGGGGAGGGUCACGCGAUACUGAUCGACUCGAAGGCAGGAGAGGGAAGUGGAAUUCCCGGUGUAGUGGUGAAAUGCGUAGAUAUCGGGAGGAACACCAGUGGCGAAGGCGACUUCCUGGCCUGUUCUUGACGCUGAGGCGCGAAAGCUAGGGGAGCAAACGGG
rnacentral:rRNA from 1 species